rnacentral:rRNA from 1 species
ACCUUUUACAGGGGAAUAGCCCGGAGAAAUUCGGAUUAAUGCUCCAUGGUUUAAUUGAAUGGCAUCGUUUGAUUAAUAAAGAUUUAUCGGUAAAAGAUGGGCAUGCGUAUCAUUAGCUAGUUGGUGUGGUAACGGCAUACCAAGGCUACGAUGAUUAGGGGUCCUGAGAGGGAGAUCCCCCACACUGGUACUGAGACACGGACCAGACUCCUACGGGAGGCAGCAGUGAGGAAUAUUGGUCAAUGGAGGCAACUCUGAACCAGCCAUGCCGCGUGCAGGAUGACGGUCCUAUGGAUUGUAAACUGCUUUUGUACGGGAAGAAAUGUGAUUACGUGUAAUUAUUUGACGGUACCGUAAGAAUAAGGAUCGGCUAACUCCGUGCCAGCAGCCGCGGUAAUACGGAGGAUCCGAGCGUUAUCCGGAAUUAUUGGGUUUAAAGGGUUCGUAGGCGGUUGAGUAAGUCAGUGGUGAAAUCUUAUAGCUUAACUAUAAAAUUGCCGUUGAUACUGCUUGACUUGAAUAGUAUGGAAGUAAUUAGAAUAUGUAGUGUAGCGGUGAAAUGCUUAGAUAUUACAUGGAAUACCAAUUGCGAAGGCAGAUUACUACGUACUUAUUGACGCUGAUGAACGAAAGCGUGGGUAGCGAACAGGAUUAGAUACCCUGGUAGUCCACGCCGUAAACGAUGGAUACUAGCUGUUCGGUUUUCGGACUGAGUGGCUAAGCGAAAGUGAUAAGUAUCCCACCUGGGGAGUACGUUCGCAAGAAUGAAACUCAAAGGAAUUGACGGGGGCCCGCACAAGCGGUGGAGCAUGUGGUUUAAUUCGAUGAUACGCGAGGAACCUUACCAAGGCUUAAAUGUAGAUUGACAGGUUUAGAGAUAGACUUUUCUUCGGACAAUUUACAAGGUGCUGCAUGGUUGUCGUCAGCUCGUGCCGUGAGGUGUCAGGGUUAGUCCUAUACGAGCGCAACCCCUAUUGUUAGUUGCCAGCGAGUAGUGUCGGGAACUCUAACAAGACUGCCGGUGCAAACCGUGAGGAAGGUGGGGAUGACGUCAAAUCAUCACGGCCCUUACGUCUUGGGCUACACACGUGCUACAAUGGCCAGUACAGAAAGCAGCUACCAGGCAACUGGAUGCGAAUCUCAAAAACUGGUCUCAGUUCGGAUUGGAGUCUGCAACUCGACUCCAUGAAGCUGGAAUCGCUAGUAAUCGGAUAUCAGCCAUGAUCCGGUGAAUACGUUCCCGGGCCUUGUACACACCGCCCGUCAAGCCAUGG